UGAGCGCAAACACAGAGUUCUCAUAAUCUAUGAAAAUUUCCUGGAAGACAUUCAGCGGCUGCUGACCAUGCUGGAGGGCAUUUUGCCGGAGGGAGCAGUGGACCCGCCAUGUCCUGCCACCGGUGACGGACAGCAGCGGUCCAUGUGGUCUUCAGCAGAGCUGCCGCCGGGGCCGGAGUCGACUCCGCUCCCAGGGCGCGCGUGCGCCGUCGGCGCUCCAUCCGUCUCGUCCCCCCGUCGCGACGCCGGGUCACACCUGGUGACGGUGCUGGCCCCGGCGGAGGCCUCUCCGUCGUUCCUGCCCGCCCCGGCCACUGCCGUCGGUGGCACUGCCCCCGCCCUGCCCUUGGU